UACGUAGGGAGCAAGCGUUAUCCGGAUUUAUUGGGUGUAAAGGGUGCGUAGACGGGAAAUUAAGUUAGCUGUGAAAUCCCUCGGCUUAACUGAGGAACUGCAACUAAAACUGAUUUUCUUGAGUGCUGGAGAGGAAAGUGGAAUUCCUAGUGUAGCGGUGAAAUGCGUAGAUAUUAGGAGGAACACCAGUGGCGAAGGCGACUUUCUGGACAGUAACUGACGUUGAGGCACGAAAGUGUGGGGAGCAAACAGG
rnacentral:rRNA from 1 species